CUAUCUAUGGGGACUUCAAAAUAUAGUUCAUACCCAACAAAUUGUGCAUAAGUCUGUGAGUAAAAAUGUACAAUUUUUUUUCAAC
rnacentral:tRNA from 1 species